CAUACACAUGAGAAAAAAUGUAAGCGGUACACUUAAAAUUUCCCUUCCUCCCCACCUUUCCCCAGCUCCCUGCUCUGGAGACACCCACCUGUGAUUCCUGUGUCAUCUCCCGGCGCUGGCAGGAGGGAGGGGCAGGAGGGGAGACGGCAAGGGAAGCAGGGCCCCCGGGGGAGAUGCUGUGGGCAUCCAGGUGAGAGGCGGUGGAGAAGGUGAGGUGCAGCCCAGUAUGAGAGCAGCGGAAGGGGAGCUUCUAGAAAGGCGUCCAGGCUUCCGGCCCUGGGAAUUGAGUGGAUAAUGAUGCUCAGAGUUGGGCGAGUUGGGUUUGGGGUGUGCGGCAGAUGCGCCGGUGGGCUGUCGGAAGCUCACGUCCACUGUAGAAAGUGGUGGGGGCUGGCAUGUAACCCCACGAACCUGGGCAUCUAGACGGGGCGACGAGGGACAGCGUGGGGACGGGCGGAGGGAGUCCUGCGCCAGAACCUGGGGACCACCAGACACCGGAGGAAGACUCUUCCUCCAGGGAGAACAGCCAGGGUUAAAAGGGGCAGACCCACUUGCCUGGAGAUGGGGUGGGGGGUGACCUCAGAGGGCUCCGUCUGGCAUGUGCUUCUGCGACGUGGGCUCUGUCCGUGGUGGGAAGCCUGGUGUAAAGGUUGAAGCAGAGUCUCCCAGCGCCUUGCCCCACGCUGGGCCCCAGCCACUGCGCCAGGGCGCUGGGCCCGGGGAGGCGGGUGGACGGGUCUCGCCACCAGCACCGCAUCAAGAGAUGCUGAUGGAGGCUUUCCUGGCACAGGAGCUCCGCUGUCCUCCAGGGCCUGGGACAAGCCCUAGCUGGACUCUGGUGAGGAGGGUCAGCAGUGGUCAGUGCAGAUGAGACUCUGAGCAGCUAAAUGCGGGGAGCCGUCACCAGCACGGAAGGCCCCCAGCCCCAGGCCCCCGGUUCAGAUUCCCGCCAGACUCAGCCACUUGGGUUUCUUUGCAGUUUGAGAGUCGCAGAUUGCUGGAGCUGAAGGGACCUCAGAGGCCACCCUGGUUACCUUCUCAUUUACACCCGAGGCCCGUGGGGCCCGGCAGGGUGAUUGCCCAAGCCCCCCGCAGGACCAGGAGCCACAGCAGGUCAUCUGCCUCCAGAUGCAGGAUCGGGCUGCCUGUGCGAACGUGCAUUUGCACACAUGCUUCCUAAGGCGAUGAAACGCUGUACAGACGGAACUGAUGGUUACUUUCCUCCGAUCCCUCCCCCUUUACCUUCUCCAGGUCUCCUUGGCCGGCUUCUUCUUCGGAAACACUUUCCCGAAGCCAGGCCUCAUGAAGGGAGGUGGGGCCCUUGGAGGUGGCAUGUCAGUGUCAGAGCCUCCUAUUGAAAAAGUCCUUCGUCCUUUGACGAAUGCUCAGCAGCCUUCCCAGCCGAGUCCAGGGGGCCCCUGGGCCCAUUCGCUGCCUGGGAAGCUACGGAAGGGAGCUGUGCGGGUCAGUAGCUGCCCCCCGCCGCGCCCCUGCCCCUAGCGAUGAGAGGCCAGAACCCAACUGGGCAAAAAACUGCAGCCUGUCAAGGCUGGGCGAUCAGGGGCCAGGAGCCCCAGCUCCAGUGUUGGUGUUAAAGAGUCCGUAACGGAACACAAGCAAACCUGAGCUUCAAAGAAGCACAAUUCGUAGAGGGCAAGGGGGGAGAUUAUUGAAACACACAGCAGCGUGGAGGGAGCUCAGGCUUGUUGGGCGGAGCGCAAGAAGCCAGAUGAAAAAGAGUGCACCUGUGUGGUUCCACAUCUAGAAUUCCAGGCUUCCAGAGAGGGUACCCGGCGGGGGGGGCGGUCAGCGGAGGGAAGGGGCAGGUGGUCCCCCAGAGGUGCGAGGGCCGGGGACCGGGGCAUCCGCACACAGCGGGUGACCAGGGUGGUUUAACAGGAUGUGUGCACGUCAGAACCCGUCAGACCGUGUUCUUGAAACGCCUGCAGCUUGUUCCAUGUCGGUGAGCCGUCUUAUUGAUGUGGGUACGUCUAUGCAUGCAAAGCUGUUCAAAAUUCAGAAUUAAGGGGAGAACUCUUGAAGCAGAAGCAGCAGGCCAGAAUACAGACUGUUAAAACAUGCCGUGGGUUUUCUAAACUUUAGCCGCUGAUACUUCACUUUUCUCCGAAAACCCCAGUCGGAAGAGUCAGGGGAGACUUUAAGUAAACUCGUCUGUUCUUCCUCACAUGUUUGCUGCUUCUCGUUCGGCUGUGAUGUGGUUUUUCGAAGCCUCCGGAGGAUCUUGAGUGAUGACAUAUCACACGUUCGGCCUGAGCUCAGGCCGGUUCCCACGGCCCCAGCCCAGGCGCCACGGCCUCCGCGGGGUCCAGAUGCCUGUCCCGCGGACCUCGAGAGGCAGGCAGGCAGGCAGGCCGCCAGCUGGCGGCGGCCCGAGCUUGUGUCUGCACGAGGCGCGGAGCAGCCACCAGAGGCUGCUGUGUCUUUGCAGUUCCUCCAAGCUCCUGCACCGCUUCAGCAGCCUCUGUUUUCUGGGAGGGUGUCUCAUGCGUUUUGCAUCUGAGAAAAAGCAAGUUCAAGGCUUAAACUGAUGAGAGGAAGAGCCACACAUUCAAACCGCGGGCAGAGGAAGAAACACAGAUUCUCGAAAUUUAAAGAUAAGAACGGAGUUCCUGUCAUGGCUCAGUGCAACGCCGGAUCCUUAACCCACUGAGCCAGGCCAGGGAUCAAACCAGCAUCCUCGUGGCUACUAGUUGGGCUCUUAACCUGCUGAGCCAUAGCGGGAACUCUGGUGCGACCUUUUUAGGUCACUGCCCUGGCCCAGCCUCAGCUUCCCACCUACAACAGGUGGCUGGAGCGCGACAGCAGAGGGAGCCUUUCCACUUGCCAGCUCUGGUUCAUUCAGCCAUCUGCCAGCUGAAAGCCGGGGCCGGAGCAGACUGCACCACGGACGACCUUCUGACGCCUCUUCCUUGUGUCCUUCUCAAGGUGGCCCCCAAACAGAGCGCUGAGGACCACCCAGAGGGCAGCAGUGUCUCUGAGUAAGUACGGGGGACGUCCCAGCCACCCUGGCAGCCUCCCGGUCCCCUCCCUGCCCUCACCAUCCACCCAGAAACCCUGUGCAGUGGCUCAUCGGUGAAGGAGGCCCAGUCCUUGGCCUUCAGGAGUUACAGCCCAGAGGGGUGACCGCGGGGUCCCCCGUCAUCCUAUGACAGUGUUAGCAGGAAACACAUGUAAGACCCCUGGAAAGUGUCAGCUAAGGACCUCAGCCCCAGAGGCCAGGCCUCCUCUGUCUGCACAGCCCUGGGCUGCGGGAGGGUUCCAGGGCCCCGGGAACGGCAGCCCCAGGAGGCUGGGCCGGGCUGACCUUGGGCCCCUGGCCCAUCCCGGCCUUGACUUUCACUCGUCCCCCGGUCACUGGGAUGUGGGACCGUGGUGCUCAAGACCACGGAGGUGACAGGUUGUGAAGAUUCUGGCUCAUCAGCUAUUUUUAUUACCAACUUCAAAUGGUUUCGGGGCCAGAACCUUGCUGGUUUUCCCACAUUCAGCAAACAUUUGCAGAGGCCCCUCCCGGAAGAGCUGGAUCCCUGCAGGUGGGCUCAGGGGAGGUCUGAGAGGGGGCAGGAGCAGCCCCAGGGCUCGUGGAGGGGUUGGUGUUUAAAACGGCUGGGAGUUCCCGUUGUGGCUCAGUUCAUAACCCACCAAACCACAUGGGAACUCCCUAUACCUCCAUUGUAGAGAAAACAGAAUUGUGGCUGAGCUGGAAUUCAAACUGGGUGUUUCUACUGCCAGGACCCUGCCCUCCAGCUGUGCGGGCACCACCUUCCUCAGGGACAAGGUCUGGAAAAGGGCAGGGCCUGCUGGCGGAAGAGACACAGGAAGUGUCCAGGGCAGAGGUUUUCGGUGUUGGUUUUAGGAUGGAUCCGAAGUCCCUACAGGGACCACUGUGGUUGUCCAGCGGGGAUGUGGAGUUUGACGGUAACAUCUUGCCUCUUGUGACUGUGUUUCUUACCCACAGAGCCCCAGGCAGCUGCUACGAGAGGCCCGAGAGGCCAUCCACCAUCACCUACGACUACUCCGAGGAAGAGCUGAUGGCCAGCAUUGAGCAGGAGUACUGCUGCUGAGGCCGGUGCUGCAGCAGCCCCGCUGUCACCCAGCGGCCAGUUUGCUGCUCCUCCCAGACCUGGCCCCACCUGCCCUGCCCAAGGCUCUAGGUGGAGCUGAGCCCCCUCCAACAUGCAGUUACUCCUGGAUCUGUCACAGCUGACCCUUUCAAGUCCACAUUCAGAUGGGCCUGAAUGGGGCUGGCUGCUGCCCAUUGUGCUUAUUGGCAAGAGGCGGUCAGCUCUGUGGACACGGGCCAGAGGGAGGGUGCAGGUGCUGCCCCACAGGCGCGGGGCCAGGUGACCUGCCACAUACCUGCCCCUCCCCUCAGUCUCUGGGGAGAGUGGGCUACAAGAUGCUCCUGGAUCUUGAAAUGCUUCUCCUUUCUGAUGGCCCACUGGCCACCUGCUCAGGAGACCCUUGAGCUGAAUGAAAGUCUUGGGGCCUCUAACACCCCUGCCGCAGCGCCUCAGGGACGUUCCCUGCAGCAGGUGCACCCAGCUGGAGGGAGCUGGAGGGAGUCACCCUCCAUGCCGCAAAGGAAUCGCUGAAGAUGCUACUGAAAUGAAAACAUUCAGAUUCUGUGCGUCUGGAGGCCUGGGAGUCUGCAUGUCUCACCAGCUCCCGGGUGAGACCCAGGCUGCCAGAUCCCAGCCACCCUUGGAGCAGCGAGGAUUGAGUCUGAGCUUUAGGCUCCAGGUAAUGCUUCCCUGGAGCUGGAGGCUGCUCAGAGCCACAGCCCAGCUGCCUCCACAAAGAGAGGCCUGUGCUGUGGCCAGUGUGGAGGGACAGGAGCUGGAACCCCCCCGUCUGAUCCUUGCUCUGUCUCUAACUUGCAGUCCCCUUCCCUCUCUGACUCAGCUUCCCUUUCUAGAAAGGGAGCCCUGGAGGCUCUUCGGGUGUUGUCUCCCCACCCCCCCAUCUAGGACGACACACUCCCAGGCUUCCCUGGUCUCUGGGCACAGGACCACCUUCCUGCCCAGGUGGAGCCCAGCACCCCCUGGACAGGCUCUUCAGGGCCGCCUGCUCUUCCCACCCAGGAAGAAAGUAGAAAUCUCACAGCCGCAGGCCAGAAGAGCCUCAGAACCUUCCCAGCCGCCAAAGGAGAAAGCCAGCCAAGGAUGCCCUGUGAAUGAGGCAGGGCCCGGAGAAGUGCAGCCUGGCCGGAAGGCUGCGCUCAGCAGGCUCGGAGUGUCAGAGCGGCCGGGAAGCAGCUCCUCUGGGGCAGCUGGCUGCGGUGUCGGUACAUAAAGCCUCGUGGAAGGCAUGGCCGUGUCCCAGCCAGAACAGGUCUCAGCUUGUCUGGUGUUAACCACUCACACAGCCGCCUCUGGGGCAUCGCCCACCAGCAAAGGGGCAAGAUGGUCUCAGAAACCGAGGAACGACCCCUUGGCCCUGUCCCCAGACCCAUGGGCCUGUUGCUAAAGGGGGCAAACAGGUGUUUCCACGAACCUUUAAGACUUGGCAACUGUGCCUUUGAUCAGAUGGUCCAGGAGUGGGAGAUUUUAACCUGCAAGUCAGAAGAUGGGGCGCUGGAGCCUCCCACUAAAUGCCCCUGAGGGUUGGCUCAGAAUGUCCCCAAAGCAAGAGCUAUUUCUCAUCCAAGCCCAGACCUUUCAUUUUGAUAUGGAGAUUAAAGCCAAUACUAUUUCGAGAACACAAAUACUUCUUUUAACAGAAGUUAUGACUUUCUCACCACUAGAUGGAUCAGACCUUGAAUUUAAUGAUGUGAAAUUGGAAACCUCAUCCAACCCUUAAUGAGAUAAAAGCACGAAGAACAAAAAAAGCUUCCUGAAGUUACAUUUUAUGUCACUGUCAAGGCGAAUGCACUUCAUCAGAGCUAAGAAGUCAAAGCGGUUGUUCUCAGAUCUUUUUAUUUUUAUUUUUUGAUUCCCUGAAUUCAGGAACAGUGUCUUCUGAACAGCGGCUUGCCAAAAAAGCAGCGUGUCCCAGCCCGUGAUGCGGAGAUGGGCGAUGGACGGAGGACGCUUGGUGGUGGCAGGG
rnacentral:lncRNA from 1 species